UGUAAACAUCCUACACUCAGCUGUAAUAUAUGAAUUGGCUGGGAGGUGGAUGUUUACUUC
rnacentral:pre_miRNA from 1 species